GACGAACGCUGGCGGCGUGCUUAACACAUGCAAGUCGAACGGAAAGGCCCUGCUUUUGUGGGGUUCUCGCGUGGCGAACGGGUGAGUAACACGUGAGUAACCUGCCCUUGACUUUGGGAUAACUUCAGGAAACUGGGGCUAAUACCGGAUAGGAGCUCCUGCUGCAUGGUGGGGUUUGGAAAGUUUCGGCGGUUGGGGAUGGACUGGCGGCUUAUCAGCUUGUUGGUGGGGUAGUGGCUUACCAAGGCUUUGACGGGUAGCCGGCCUGAGAGGGUGACCGGCGACAUUGGGACUGAGAUACGGCCCAGACUCCUACGGGAGGCAGCAGUGGGGAAUAUUGCACAAUGAGCGGGAGCGUGAGGCAGCGACGCUGCGUUCGGAAUGACGGCCUUCGGGUGGUAAACCGCUGUCGCCUGUGACGAAGCGUGAGUGACGGUAAUGGGUAAAGAAGCACCGGCUAACUACGUG
rnacentral:rRNA from 1 species